rnacentral:tRNA from 1 species
GAUCAAGAUCGACAGUGUAGCUCAGCCGUAAGAGCGUCGGACUUGCACUCCGGAGGUCCCCAGAUCGAAACUGGGUACUGCCGAUCUUA